rnacentral:tRNA from 27 species
GUCCGGUUAGCUCAAUUGGUAGAGCAAUACACUGUUAAUGUAAAGGUCGGUAGUUCGAUUCUAUCACCGGGCGCAA